ACGGGUGAGUAACGCGUGGGUAACCUGCCUUGUACUGGGGGACAACAGUUGGAAACGACUGCUAAUACCGCAUAAGCGCACAGCUUCGCAUGAAGCAGUGUGAAAAACUCCGGUGGUACAAGAUGGACCCGCGUCUGAUUAGCUGGUUGGUGAGGUAACGGCCCACCAAGGCGACGAUCAGUAGCCGGCCUGAGAGGGUGAACGGCCACAUUGGGACUGAGACACGGCCCAGACUCCUACGGGAGGCAGCAUG
rnacentral:rRNA from 1 species